rnacentral:lncRNA from 10 species
AUUUCGCCGCUGGCGUCAGGACUAUUUUCACGUUUUAAUGCCGAGAGGUCUCUGUGACGAUUUUGGUUCUUGGGUGUCUCUGGGGAGUCCCUGGGCCAGACCUUCCUCCAGACUCCAGCCCACCUCUUCGGAGCAGCUCUGCUGAGUUCACAGAUGACCACUAAACUUCAGGCACCCUAGACAAAAAGGGUUGAGAUCCAGUGUGGCCAUGCCAGCUAGUUGGACCUCACCCCAGAAAUCCUCAGCCCUGGCUCCAGAGGAUCAUGGCAGCUCCUAUGAGGCUGGAGUGCUGUGGUGCAAUCACGGCUCACUGUAGCCUGGACUUCCCAGGUUCAAUCGAUCCCCCCACCUUAGCCUGCCGAGUAGCUGGGACUACAGGUAUAUAGGUACCAUUUUCAAAGAAAUGAUGUUCUGAGCCCUAUAAGCACAAUCAAUAUGCAUCACAAGAGACAAACUGUAAUCUCUGAAUGCAGUUAAAUGAAGAAAUCAACAAGGGAUCAGUGUCCUUCAGGGAUGUGGCUAUCGAUUUCAGCAGAGAGGAAUGGCGGCACCUGGACCUUUCUCAGAGAAAC